UGCUGGAGGUAUCAGAAGUGCGAAUGCUGACAUAAGUAACGAUAAAGCGGGUGAAAAGCCCGCUCGCCGGAAGACCAAGGGUUCCUGUCCAACGUUAAUCGGGGCAGGGUGAGUCGACCCCUAAGGCGAGGCCGAAAGGCGUAGUCGAUGGGAAACAGGUUAAUAUUCCUGUACUUGGUGUUACUGCGAAGGGGGGACGGAGAAGGCUAUGUUAGCCGGGCGACGGUUGUCCCGGUUUAAGCAUGUAGGCUGAUUGUCCAGGCAAAUCCGGAUAAUCAAGGCUGAGGUGUGAUGACGAGGCACUACGGUGCUGAAGUAACAAAUGCCCUGCUUCCAGGAAAAGCCUCUAAGCAUCAGGUAACAUCAAAUCGUACCCCAAACCGACACAGGUGGUCAGGUAGAGAAUACCAAGGCGCUUGAGAGAACUCGGGUGAAGGAACUAGGCAAAAUGGUGCCGUAACUUCGGGAGAAGGCACGCUGGUGUGUAGGUGAAGUCCCUGCGGAUGGAGCUGAGACCAGUCGAAGAUACCAGCUGGCUGCAACUGUUUAUUAAAAACACAGCACUGUGCAAACACGAAAGUGGACGUAUACGGUGUGACGCCUGCCCGGUGCCGGAAGGUUAAUUGAUGGGGUUAUCCGUAAGGAGAAGCUCUUGAUCGAAGCCCCGGUAAACGGCGGCCGUAACUAUAACGGUCCUAAGGUAGCGAAAUUCCUUGUCGGGUAAGUUCCGACCUGCACGAAUGGCGUAAUGAUGGCCAGGCUGUCUCCACCCGAGACUCAGUGAAAUUGAACUCGCUGUGAAGAUGCAGUGUACCCGCGGCAAGACGGAAAGACCCCGUGAACCUUUACUAUAGCUUGACACUGAACAUUGAGCCUUGAUGUGUAGGAUAGGUGGGAGGCUUUGAAGCGUGGACGCCAGUCUGCGUGGAGCCAACCUUGAAAUACCACCCUUUAAUGUUUGAUGUUCUAACGUUGGCCCCUGACCGGGGUUGCGGACAGUGUCUGGUGGGUAGUUUGACUGGGGCGGUCUCCUCCCAAAGCGUAACGGAGGAGCACGAAGGUUAGCUAAUCCUGGUCGGACAUCAGGAGGUUAGUGCAAUGGCAUAAGCUAGCUUGACUGCGAGCGUGACGGCGCGAGCAGGUGCGAAAGCAGGUCAUAGUGAUCCGGUGGUUCUGAAUGGAAGGGCCAUCGCUCAACGGAUAAAAGGUACUCCGGGGAUAACAGGCUGAUACCGCCCAAGAGUUCAUAUCGACGGCGGUGUUUGGCACCUCGAUGUCGGCUCAUCACAUCCUGGGGCUGAAGUAGGUCCCAAGGGUAUGGCUGUUCGCCAUUUAAAGUGGUACGCGAGCUGGGUUUAGAACGUCGUGAGACAGUUCGGUCCCUAUCUGCCGUGGGCGCUGGAGAAUUGAGGGGGGCUGCUCCUAGUACGAGAGGACCGGAGUGGACGCAUCACUGGUGUUCGGGUUGUCAUGCCAAUGGCACUGCCCGGUAGCUAAAUGCGGAAGAGAUAAGUGCUGAAAGCAUCUAAGCACGAAACUUGCCCCGAGAUGAGUUCUCCCUGAGACUUUAAGUCUCCUGAAGGAACGUU
rnacentral:rRNA from 1 species